rnacentral:rRNA from 1 species
GAUGAACGCUAGCGGCAGGCUUAAUACAUGCAAGUCGAGGGGCAGCAGGGUGUAGCAAUACAUCGCUGGCGACCGGCAAACGGGUGCGGAACACGUACGCAACCUUCCUUUAAGUGAGGAAUAGCCCAGGGAAACUUGGAUUAAUACCUCGUAAUAUUAUGAAGUGGCAUCACUUUAUAAUUAUAGCUCAGGCGCUUAAAGAUGGGCGUGCGACUGAUUAGGAGUUGGCGGAGUAACAGCCCACCAAGCCUGCGAUCAGUAACUGGUGUGAGAGCACGACCAGUCACACGGGCACUGAGACACGGGCCCGACUCCUACGGGAGGCAGCAGUAAGGAAUAUUGGUCAAUGGACGCAAGUCUGAACCAGCCAUGCCGCGUGGAGGAUGAAGGUCCUCUGGAUUGUAAACUUCUUUUAUUUGGGAAGAAACCCAUGUUUUCUAAUGUGGUUGACGGUACCAGAU